rnacentral:sRNA from 1 species
AAAUUUUAAAUCCUUCCGCUUCCUCCCUUUAAUGAACACACUGGACUCCAUCCUGUGGAGAAGUAGUGGAGGUGCUUUUAUUUUGAACCCUCUUGGUUCUGGCUAGGUCCACUUGAACUCUGUAAGCUUCUCUAUUCUGCCAAUGCAUGUUGGCAAAUGUGGCCUCCGCCUACUGAUGGUCCUUUCUCUCUUCUAUAGACUCAGUGGCUUGUCCCCAUUUCUAGGGGAAACAGAUGCAGAGACCAUGAAUUUCAUUGUAAACUGUAGCUGGGAUUUUGAUGCUGACACCUUUGAAGGGCUCUCGGAGGAGGCCAAGGACUUCGUUUCCCGGUUGCUGGUCAAAGAGAAGAGCUGCAGAAUGAGUGCCACACAGUGCCUGAAACACGAGUGGCUGAAUAAUUUGCCUGCCAAAGCUUCAAGAUCCAAAACUCGUCUCAAAUCCCAACUACUGCUGCAGAAAUACAUAGCUCAAAGAAAAUGGAAGAAACAUUUCUAUGUGGUGACUGCUGCCAACAGGUUAAGGAAAUUUCCAACUUCUCCCUAAUCUUCAACUCUGCUGCUCCAAUGGGUCCAGAAAUUA